rnacentral:misc_RNA from 1 species
CUGAAUUGUCAACAAGAGUUGUUGCUGGUCCUCAAAUGGGGGCAUGUGCACGCUCUGUUCACACAUCCACUCACACCUGUGCACCCUCUGUAGUUCUAUGGUCGGGGGGGCCCGUCCCUCCCACCAUGGUUCUGCGUUUUUACCACACACACUGUAACAAAGUCUCAUGGAAUGUGUACCGCGUUUAACGCAAUACAAUA